UUUGAUAUCAGUACAGAACAUGUAUCAUCUACAUGCAUAGACUUAUAGAAGUCUAUGUCUACAUGGUACACAUGUUGAAUGUCGAUUUUGUAAACUUGUUGUCAAUUGUUGACUAGACUACAAUGCAAGUUGUUCUACUUAUUAUAAUAAUAACUGAAAUUGUCAUUAAAUAAUUAAUUGUCUUUAUGUUGGAAUUUGGAAACUGGUUUUCUCAUUUAAUAAUUUCAUUGUCCUUACUCAUUAACCAUUUCAUAGGCUAUGACGUCAUUUGUGGGAUAUAAACAUUAUAAACUAUAAAGCCUGCAGGACAUCAUAUUAUCUUCUGCCGGUGGUAUACUUGAAAAAACUCAAAAAACAAUAAGAUCUUUAAAGUCAAUCCAAGAAGCGCCAGUCUUUUCCUAUUUUAUAUUCUCAUGCCCAGAAGAUCAAUAUUUAAACAAUGACUUAUCAAGUAUUCAUAAUGUUGUUUAUUUUCCUGAAUUUAUUUCACUUCUGGCACAGGAACUCCUAAUACACAAGUUUACAAUAGAAAUGACUGAUCAAAACUAAACAUGAGAAACUCCAGAUGAGCACCAGGUAAACCCAAUUUGAUGUAUGUCUUAACUAAACGUAAAUCAGCUGAAUUACCGUCCAGUCCGUGGACACAUACUAUGAGAUGAACACCUUCGGGUGAGAACAUGCGUAAAUCUUCGCUGAUAUGAAAGUAUGGUAAUGUUGAAGCUAAUAUAUGAGCGUCACUAGUAGUAGAAUAAUCUUAUAAGCCAAUUAUAACUGACCUUUUGGAGUAAUUUGACCAGAAAAUGAAGAUGUCGAAGACUGACGACUGGAAACCCAUCCACUUUGUUCUGAAGUUAUUUCACUAUCAGAAACUGAUGAAAAUCGUGUCACUACUGUUGAUGGUUUUGUAUACUGAUCUUCAAAAAUUACAGGCAAAGUGAUAGGAUCGCCAUCUGUUGCUGAGCAAUGAACAGGUAAAGGUGGCAAUGAAGCUAAGUAUCUAGAUCUUCUAGCUGCUUCUGAUACUGAUCUAUAGUGUUGAUAAUUAUUAUGAUCAUCAUAACAACCCGCUGCACUUUGCCUCGGAUUUUCUAGUACAAAAAAGGCUUCGGAAAAUCUCCUUACCUAUCGAAAGUCAAGUAUAUGUUUUUAAAACAAAAUUACAAGUAUCUUUACCAUUACCUUUAUGGCUUUAUGGCUUUAUAGCUACAUAAAUAAUUAAUUAAUCUAUCGUUUAUUCAUUAACAUAAAUAUGUUUGUUUUUCAUUAAAUUUUCAUAGUUAAAAUAUAUAGAAUAAUAAGCAUAA